AGUGAACGCUGGCGGUAGGCCUAACACAUGCAAGUCGAACGGCAGCACAGGAGAGCUUGCUCUCUGGGUGGCGAGUGGCGGACGGGUGAGGAAUACAUCGGAAUCUACUCUGUCGUGGGGGAUAACGUAGGGAAACUUACGCUAAUACCGCAUACGACCUACGGGUGAAAGCAGGGGCUCUUCGGACCUUGCGCGAUUGAAUGAGCCGAUGUCGGAUUAGCUAGUUGGCGGGGUAAAGGCCCACCAAGGCGACGAUCCGUAGCUGGUCUGAGAGGAUGAUCAGCCACACUGGAACUGAGACACGGACCAGCCUCCUACGGGAGUCAGCAAUGGGGAAUAUUGGACAAUGGGCGCAAGCCUGAUCCAGCCAUACCGCGUGGGUGAAGAAGGCCUUCGGGUUGUAAAGCCCUUUUGUUGGGAAAGAAAUCCAGCUGGCUAAUACCCGGUUGGGAUGACGGUACCCAAAGAAUAAGCACCGGCUAACGGCGUGCCAGCCGCCGCCGUAA
rnacentral:rRNA from 1 species